rnacentral:rRNA from 1 species
GGUCAAGUUAUUAAGGGUGCAGGGCGGAUGCCUUGGCACUAGGAGCCGAUGAAGGACGUGAUAAGCUGCGAUAAGCUUCGGGGAGUUGCACGUAAACUUUGAUCCGAAGAUUUCCGAAUGAGGAAACUCACUUAGAGUAAUGUCUAAGUAUCAUUAAGUGAAUACAUAGCUUAAUGAGGGGAACUCAGGGAACUGAAACAUCUAAGUACCUGAAGGAAGAGAAAGAAAUUCGAUUCCGUAAGUAGCGGCGAGCGAACGCGGAUUAGCCCAAACCAAUAAAGUUUUCUUUAUUGGGGUUGCGGACAUAUCAUAACGAAGAGGUAUCGUAAUUGAAGAGGUUUGGAAAGACCCACCACAGAAGGUAAUAGUCCUGUAUGUUAAACGAGAAGACUUUAGAUAUGAUCCAGAGUACCACGGGACACGUGAAACCCUGUGGGAAGCAGGAGGGACCACCCUCCAAGGCUAAAUACUACCUAGUGACCGAUAGCGUAUAGUACCGUGAGGGAAAGGUGAAAAGAACCCCGGGAGGGGAGUGAAAUAGAACCUGAAACCCUGCACUUACAAGCUGUGGAAGCACAUUUCUUGUGUGACCGCGUACUUUUUGUAGAACGGGCCAACGAGUUACGUUAAGUAGCAAGGUUAAGCACUUAAGGUGUGGAGCCGUAGCGAAAGCGAGUUUUAACUGAGCGUUCAGUUACUUGACGUAGACCCGAAACCGGGCGACCUACCCAUGAGCAGGAUGAAGCGAAAGUAAAAUUUCGUGGAGGUCCGAACCCACGAGCGUUGAAAAGCUCGGGGAUGACUUGUGGGUAGCGGUGAAAUUCCAAUCGAGCCCGGAGAUAGCUGGUUCUCCCCGAAAUAGCUUUAGGGCUAGCCUCAAGGUGAGAGAUACGGAGGUAGAGCACUGAAUGUCCUAGGGGGUAUUGCACCUACCGAAGACUAUCAAACUCCGAAUGCCGUCAUCUUAUACUUGGGAGUCAGACUGUGGGUGAUAAGAUUCAUAGUCGAAAGGGCAACAGCCCAGAUCGUCAGCUAAGGUCCCUAAAUGUAAGUUAAGUGGUAAAGGAUGUGGGAUUGCACAGACAACCAGGAUGUUGGCUUAGAAGCAGCCACUCAUUCAAAGAGUGCGUAAUAGCUCACUGGUCGAGUGAUCCUGCGCCGAAGAUUUCCGGGGCUAAAACUUACUACCGAAGCUACGGCAUCAGUAAUGAUGGGUAGGGGAGCUUCCCAUACGGGUUGAAGCAUGACCGUAAGGACAUGUGGACAGUAUGGGAGUGAGAAUGUUGGCAUGAGUAGCGAGAUGUGGGUGAGAAUCCCACAGGCCGUAA